AAAAAUGAGUCCUUCAGAAAUAACCAUCCUAAUCCUUGUCUUCCUUACCUUCUUAUGGUCUCUUCUCCGCAUCCUAAUCAACGCCUCCUCAAGGCAAAGCCAAAAACUGCCUCCUGGCCCUAUGGCUCUGCCAAUCAUUGGCAAUCUUCAUAUGCUAGGCAACCUCCCACACCGCAGCCUCCAGAACCUAGCCAAAAAGUACGGACCCAUAAUGUCCAUGCGCCUAGGAAGCAAAACCACCAUAGUAGUCUCAUCCCCCAAAGCCGCUGAGUUAUUCCUUAAAACCCACGACACCAUUUUCGCUAGCCGCCCCCAAGUCCAAGCCUCCAAGUACAUGUCGUACGACACGAAGGCCAUGGCCUUUUCUGAAUAUGGUCCAUAUUGGCGCCAUGUUCGAAAGCUCUGCACGCUUCAACUUCUUUCUCCUUUGAGAAUCGAGGCUUUUGCUCCGCUGAGAAGGGAGGAGGUAGGGUUGUUGGUGCAAUCCCUAAAGGUAGCCGCAGAGGCGGGUGAGGUGGUAGAUCUUAGUGAGAAAGUCGGUGAGCUUGUUGUGGGAAUCACGUACAGGAUGGUGUUGGGGAGAAAAAACAAUGAUAUGUUUGAUCUCAAGGGGAUUAUAGAGGAGGUCAUGUUCUUGUCAGGAGCUUUCAACAUUGGUGAUUAUGUGCCUUUCCUUAUUCCACUUGAUGUUCAGGUAUGUUACCCUUCAUCCUUAAUUACCAAAAAUGUUACAUGCAUGAAUCAACAAUAAAACUAGAAAUGCUAGCAAGAUCAUAAAGUAGAAACAUUUAGAAUCACUGCUUGCACGCUACUGAUCCUGAAAUGCUAAAGAACAAACACAAGACGUUUGAAAUAAGUAAAUGCAAAUAUGUGCGAUCGAUUUUAACACUGUCCUCGUGAAAAAAAUUAGAUGGAUGGUACAUUAACAGGAACAAAAGCAGUGUCAACAAAGUAAAGUGAACAAGGUGAAUUCAUAGUUUUAGGGAAAGUAAAUCAGCCAAUAACUAGUUCACAACGCUACUAAUCUUUGGAUUAGCUGUUUACGUUAGCCGGCCGGUUUUCAUCGUCUGUUUGUUGGUGACAUGAUUCACAAGUCGCAUCCACACACUGCUAAAAAAAAGAUCAUAUCGUACACGUAUGGUCCGUUUCCAUAGGCUGCAAACAUUGAUAUUAUCACCGCCGAUGGCAGUGACACUGACACGGUUUCUUAUCUUAUGCUUAAUUUGGCUCCAUUGUCAAGUUUAAUUUAUCGACCAAAAUAGUGGGCAAGACAUAUUCAAUGCCGGCCGGGAUAUUCUAUUACAAUUAAUUAUUUUAGGAACCUUAAUUUUUUGCAGUCAACUGUAUACAAAUUAUAUGGUUGUUUUCUUUUAUCCUUCAUGGAAGACGUAAUAUUAAUAAGGAUUUUACCAUUAAAAGAGUCCUUUACAAAAAUUCAAAAAAUAAAAUGCUGGUAAUGAGCAGAUACAGAUUCUGAGGUUUAUAAUUAGUAAUGUUAGAGAGAUUAAAUUUGUAGAUAAAAUUUGUAAACAAAAUGAUGUGUUACAAAUAGAGAUGAGUACGUCGUUUAUCAAUGUUUAAGUAAUAAUCCAAUGAUCAACUUCAAUGUAUUUUAGUUUACACAAUUUUGCUUACAAAUUUAGUCUCUCAAGCAUUAACCAUAUAACAAUAAUGUUAUCAAAAUUAAACUCAACUUACUUGAUUAUUAUACAUAUGUAUGAAUCAAACUAACCAUAACCAAUGUGAAAGGCCUUUGUAUUAGAUAAUGCUAGGUAGUCCAAAUUUUAAGUAAAAUUUUAUAAAUCAUAUGACAUGGUUGUUGAUAAUUGAAUUAUUAUUUAAGUGUUGAUUAACGUACUUAUUUCAUAUUAAUGACACGUCAUGUGGUAUGCAAAUUUAGUCUCAAAACUUUGUUUACUUACCAUUAUUCUUUUUGUAGUAAGGGUUUGCACGUGAUCCCGUGUAAGAUUGCCGCCAUAUGUGACCAUCCUCACCCAAAAGUUACUCCUAAAUUACAAGAUGUAAAAGAUUUUAUAUAUGCAUGCAUGUCUUGAUGACCAUUACAUUGCCUAGAUUAAAAUAGCGAUAGCUAUAGAGUACUCAAGUAGAAGACUAGUACAUAUAUUGAUUGGAUUGUAUGGAAUCUUAACUACUUCCUCUUAGGGAUUGACCAAGCGCAUGAAGAGAAUUAGCAAGACUGUGGACCAACUAUUCGAAAAGAUAAUUCAGGAUCAUGAACAAGUUUCUAGAAGUGAGCAAGUACAAGGCAAUCAUCAUAAGGACUUUGUAGACGUGCUGCUUUCAUUAAUCCACCAACCAUUAAACCCCAACGAUGAGGAAGUAUACAUGUUCGAACGAACAAAUGCCAAAGCCAUUUUACUCGAUAUGAUUUCUGGUUCCUUUGACACUUCAGCCACGGCAAUCGUCUGGACCCUGGCCGAACUCUUGAGGCACCCGGAAGUUAUGAAACGUCUCCAAAAAGAGCUCCAAAGUGUGGUCGGGAUGGAUCGAAUGGUUGAAGAAAGUGAUUUGCCAAAGCUGGAUUACUUGAGCAUGGUGGUCAAGGAGAGCUUCAGGCUACACCCUGUUGGACCAUUACUUAUCCCUCAUCAAUCCAUGGAGGACGUUAUAGUUGAUGGAUAUCACAUACCCAAGAAAUCAAGAGUCUUCAUCAAUAUUUGGACCAUUGGGAGAGAUCCAAAUGUAUGGUCAGAUAAUGUGGAAGAAUUCUACCCUGAAAGGUUUAUGAAUAGUAACGUUGACCUGCAAGGACAUGACUUCCAGCUCAUACCAUUUGGGUCUGGUCGAAGAGGGUGCCCUGCUAUGCAGUUAGGGUUGACCACAGUUCGUCUAGCUCUGGGAAACUUGGUGAACUGCUUCAACUGGGAGCUCCCAACUGGCAUGUUGCCUAAAGACUUGGACAUGACUGAAAAGUUCGGCUUAUCGUUGUCGAAAGCCAAACACUUGCUUGCCAUGCCGACGCACCGCCUAUAAAAUCGACCUUCACACACAAACACACAGAUGGUGUGUCUAGGCAUAAAUAAACACACACACACACACACACAGAUGGUGUGUCCAGGCAUAAAUAAACAGUACUUAACUGUAUACUUUGGAUUUUAAUUUUUAGUCAAUAUGGAACUUUAUUAAGACAAGAAAAUGUUACAGAAACAAAAAUAUUACCCAAUAAUUUGAAUUGAUGAAAGUGGCUUAUAACUUAGUUGGUUAAUUAAGAGCAUUCACUUUGCACUCGAGGUUAAAUGUUUGAAUUCCCCUUCCUAAGUUCAAUAUAGAUUGUCCUAUCCUUUUAAAAAGUUAAUAAUAAUUUGGACUGGUAUUGGAUAUAACCUUCCUACUAAAAGAAAGCACACAACACAGUUCUACCGUUCCAAGUAUAAAAGUUUCCUAAAGAAAAUAAAGCAACUUUCAGCAUUACCUAAGAGCAACUCCAGCGUAUCAAGCUCCCCUAGGGUAACUUCCUAUUGAAUAGCUUACAGUGAACAGUAACUGUAUUUAAUGAACAGUAAUUGCCUUUUGCAUCUCCACCCCUAAACUGAAUAGCUAUGACAAUAUGCAAUAAAAAAUUAAUAUUUUUUAUUUUAUAAAAUAAUAAAAAAUAAUUUUAUUUCAAAUUUCGGAUAUGAUUUUUAAUUAGUCUCGUUGUACUACAUUUCAUUAAAUAAGAAAUUACAACCCAAAGUAUUUGAGAAAAUAUAAAAUUAUGGUGUAAGAUGGAAGAUAAUGAUAAGAUAUUUAUAAAAAAAUAAAAUCUUUUUUUUUUAAUUUUUUUCAGAUUUUUUAUUAAUUGUUUACAUUUUUUAUAAAAUUUUUAUUAAUUUUUAAUUUUAUUAAUUUUAUAAUGUGGCUGACGUUAACUAUGCAUCAUUUGGCCUCAAGCUCUCGAGCUACCAAUUACAGUCGGGCCUCCAAUUGGAGCCGAGCUUCUCACUUGGGCCCCCCCUCGACCCACACGCCCACAUGGGUUGGAGCAAGCAGCUCGGGCUAUUGGGUAGAAAAAAUCAAAGGUCCAUCGAGCUAUUGGUCCCGGUGGAGACGCCUAAAACAAAAGGAGGCCUGAAGUAAAAGUUUCAUAAUGAAGUUUAUGCAUCAGAGAACUUUAGACUUAUUAUUAUAAAUGUAUUGCCAAAACACUACCAAUGCACUAUUUCAGCGUUACAUGUUACUGCUAAAACACUACAAAUGCCCUUCAAAGGUACUAACCAAAUAAUUUCUAAAUACAAUCAUUUCAAGGUGUCAUUUGAAAAGUUCUUCAAAUAUAUUACAUUUAGGCUUAUUUUUAGCCAUGUUUUUUUAAACUUCAUUUUAAUCUCAUUUUGCUUCUUGUAAUUAAAAAAUUGUCACUUUACUCCAUGAAACUCAUAAUUCGCUCUAGUUUAUACAUAAUCAUUGUUAAUUUCAACUAACGAAGAUUAAUUAACUAUCAAAUCUCGUAUCCAAUAGAAUGUUGGGUAUGCCACUUAGUACUACAGUCUAGUGGUAUUUAUCUUUACUUGUAAGUGAGAGGUCUUAGGUUUGAUUCUCGCUAAAUGUUACAUCCCACAUCGCUCAGGGGAGUGGAUCCUCUAAGCCUUAUAUGUAUAUUCUCAUCUCUACCUAGCACGAGGCCUUUUGGGAACUCACUGGCUUCGGGUUCCAUCAGAACUCCGAAGUUAAGCGAGAUCGUGAGAGAGCAAUCUCAUGAUGGGUGACCCACUGAGAAGUUAUCGUGUGAGUUCCCAGAAACAAAAUCGUGAGGGCGUGAUGGGGCCUAAAGCGGACAAUAUCGUGCUACGGCGGAGUUGUGCUCAGGAUGUAGUAGGGGCUCGGGUUGGGAUGUGACACUAAAGGUUAAUUUGAAUCAUAUUAUUGCUAGCUAUUAUGAGGCUAAGCCCAUCCCUUCCUCUUAGUGUAGAUAAUAUCGUUUGUUCAAAAGAAAAAAAAAAAUGUUGAGUAUCCUAUCCAAUUUUUUUAGGGGUGCAGAUAUUUUUAUAAUUGCAAACAUUUAUUUUAUAGCAUAUACAAUUGUUUCUACAAAAUAACUAAUGUAAUUAAACAUUAUGUAGAUUAAUCUUUAGUUGCAUCUUAUUUCAUUUGCUUGGGCCAUGAGGUAAAUCAAUCAUUUGUCUUAGGGGGGUCUGAAUUUAAACCUCUCAUACCUGCCAAAAGACUCAUGCCUAAUGCGAAAUUCCGUCCUUGAGUUUUAUUAUUUACGGCGUAGAAUAUUUUUCAAAAAGUGUAAAAAAAUGAAAAUACUUUUAAUGUGCUAAACGGGAUUUUACAUGAACGUAUUUGAUCAUUUCAUGUUUUUCUGCAUUUCUUAACAUAUUUAAAUAAUACAUGUCGCUACCAAUGAUGGGUGGUUCAAGUGAUAAGGAGCUUGUUCCUCUUAAACAAAAUCUUAAGUUUGAACUUUAAGAAUAAAGAAGCCAAUAAUAGAAGAGCUUGCCUCGAAUAGGAUCCAAUCUGGGUCGAGGGAUUAGUCCCACCUCGUGCGGGGAUGCCUGAAUUCAUCCAAUGAAAAAUAAUACGGAUCGCUAACGAAAAACAAAACUUGAAACGCCAAGGGUAUUUCGUCAUUUUCCAUUUAUUGGAAACACAUGCGGCCUUAUUUUGUGUGCCACGUGAGAACCACCCCACUUUUUGGAAAACUCUCUAUAGGCCAAGCUUUGGAAACACAUGCGGACAUAAAACGGGAGUUUACGUUAUGAAGAUUAAUCGCCAUAAUUGCAAAAAUUUAUUUUAUAGCAUAUACAAUUGUGUCCACAAAAUAACUAAUAUAAUUAAACAUUAUGAAGAUUAAUCGCCAUGUGGUAAAUCAAUCAUUUGUCUUGGUGGGUUUGAAUUUAAUCCUCUCAUGCCUACCAAAACAUUCAUGCCUAAUGUGAAAUCCUAUCCUUGAAUUUUAUUAUUUACGGAGUAAAUUUUUUUCAAAAGGUGUAAAAGGACGAAAAUGCUUCUAUUGUGCUCAACGGGAGUUUACGUUAAUGUAUUUCAUCAUUUCAUGUUUUUCCACAUUUCUCAGCAUAUUUAAAUGAGAAUUUUAACAAAAAACUCCCGGUACUGUUCAUUUUAACGAAAAACCAUAUUUUUACACUAAAAAGUCAAUCUUGAAACUAUUCACUUUACCCUUUAUUUUGUCAUUUUCGUUAAAACUCAAAGUUUUCAAAUCUUUUUCAUUAGUUUUCCUUAUUUAAAUAAUACGUGUCGCUAUGAAGGCGUAUCGCAAUCUAAAAGUAACUCAAAGCUAUAACAAAACUUGAAAUUUCGUCAUUUUACAUUUAUUGGAAGCACAUUUGGUUAUGGAAAACUCUCUCUCGGUCAAUCUCUUCCCGUCUAUCAUCUCUCACAUUUUCUCUCUACCCCUCUCUUUGUCCAAACAAAAAGUCCACCACACCAUUUUCUGACGAAUUUCUUACACCAAAAUCACCAUAUUUGUGAUCGUCUCACUCCCACAAACCCAGUGAUGGGUUUUGUUUCAUGAAAAACCGAAGAAAAACGGAGGUUCUGGAGCUUCGAAACGGACCGACACCAUCCUAGCCAAUUCCUGCCAGGGUGAGACCUCUAACCACCAUAUUUGGAUUACUCUCGUUGAAUAGAUGAAUUUUCAUAUAUGGAUCGUGGAAUUUAGUUAAGAACUGAGUGAGAUAUGAGCGUUUAAAUUUCUCCUCUGCAGAGUGCAGACGCACAAACCAAACCCAAGGGCGCCAACUGCACUACAUUUACGUUCAACAGUAGCACAAUAUUGAAUCCAUAUCCAUCAAUUUCAGUCAACUUUCGUACUACCAUUCGUCAUUAAGUUACUUCAACAAACUUUAUAAAGAUUGCACGUAGCUACUUAGGCACGAAGGAAUCUGGUGAGUUUCACUCUCACUCUUAACAGUUUAAUUAGUUUAAAGUUGAAAUAUUGCUUAUAUAAAAUAAGAGAAUUGUUAUUGGUAUUCAAAAAAUCUUAUUUUGCAUGCCAAAUUUUCUAUAAAUAAAAAGAAAAAUAUACUUGUAAGAAACGCGAAAUGAGAUUUUAUUACUGCUAUUAACAAUUCCGUAAAAAUUUUUUGUAACUUUGAUUUUUUCUGUUGGUAAAAUUUUGUUUUGCUUGUACUAGGGUAAAGUACCCAUUUUCACAUACAUGAUUGGACUCCAUUUGGUAAUAUUUUAAUCAGCCGUUGGAUCAUGAAUCAUUCUCUAUAAGUAUCCAACUAUAUGAGUCUAUGUCCAAACGUCCCAUUUCUCGAUCUCACCCAGAAAUCAAGAAAAAAAUGAGUCCUUCAGAAAUAACCAUCCUAAUCCUUGUCUUCCUUACCUUCUUAUGGUCUCUUCUCCGCAUCCUAAUCAACGCCUCCUCAAGGCAAAGCCAAAAACUGCCUCCUGGCCCUAUGGCUCUGCCAAUCAUUGGCAAUCUUCAUAUGCUAGGCAACCUCCCACACCGCAGCCUCCAGAACCUAGCCAAAAAGUACGGACCCAUAAUGUCCAUGCGCCUAGGAAGCAAAACCACCAUAGUAGUCUCAUCCCCCAAAGCCGCUGAGUUAUUCCUUAAAACCCAUGACACCAUUUUCGCUAGCCGCCCCCAAGUCCAAGCCUCCAAG
rnacentral:lncRNA from 1 species